CAGUGGCCAGUAAAUGGGAGGUCCAGUGACCAGUAAAUGGGAGGUCCAGUGACCAAGUACAUGGGAGGUCCAGUGUCCUAAUACAUGGGAGGUCCAGGGACCAAGUACAUGGGACGUCCAGUGACAUAGUACAUGGGAGGUCCAGUGUCCUAGUACAUGGGAGGUCCAGUGACAAUGUACAUGGGAGGUCCAGUGACCAGUAAAUGGGAGGUCCAGUGUCCUAGUACACGGCAGGUCCAGUGUCCUAGUACAUGGGAGGUCCAGUGUCCUAGUACAUGGGAGUCCAGUGACAAUGUACAUAGGAGGUCCAGUGUCCCAGUACAUGGAAGUCCAGUGACAAUGUACAUAGGAGGUCCAGUGUCCCAGUACAUGGAAGUCCAGUGACAAUGUACAUAGGAGGUCCAGUGUCCCAGUACAUGGAAGUCUAGAGACAAUGUACAUAGGAGGUCCAGUGUCCCAGUACAUGGAAGUCCAGUGACAAUGUACAUAGGAGGUCCAGUGUCCUAGUACAUGGGAGGUUCAGUGUCCUAGUACAUGGAAGUCCAGUGACAAUGUACAUUGGAGGUCCAGUGUCAUAGUACAUGUGAGGUCCAGUGUUCUAGUACAUGGGGGGUCCAGUGACCAGUAAAUGGGAGGUCCAGUGACCAAGAACAUGGGAGGUCCAGUGUCCUAGUACAUGGGAGGU